ACAGCCUUGCUGAAUUAUUCACCCUUGUCUUUUGCGUACUUCUUGUUUCCUUGGUGGGUUCGCCCACCACUAGGACAAACAUAAACCUUUUGUAAUUGCAAUCAGCGUCAGUAACAAAUUAAUAAUUACAACUUUCAACAACGGAUCUCUUGGUUCUGGCAUCGAUGAAGAACGCAGCGAAAUGCGAUAAGUAGUGUGAAUUGCAGAAUUCAGUGAAUCAUCGAAUCUUUGAACGCACAUUGCGCCCUUUGGUAUUCCAAAGGGCAUGCCUGUUCGAGCGUCAUUUGUACCCUCAAGCUUUGCUUGGUGUUGGGCGUCUUGUCUCUAGCUUUGCUGGAGACUCGCCUUAAAGUAAUUGGCAGCCGGCCUACUGGUUUCGGAGCGCAGCACAAGUCGCACUCUCUAUCAGCAAAGGUCUAGCAUCCAUUAAGCCUUUUUUUCAACUUUUGACCUCGGAUCAGGUAGGGAUACCCGCUGAAC
rnacentral:rRNA from 1 species